rnacentral:rRNA from 1 species
UACAGAGGUCUCAAGCGUUGUUCGGAUUCAUUGGGCGUAAAGGGUGCGUAGGUGGCGCCGUAAGUCGGGUGUGAAAUUUCGGAGCUUAACUCCGAAACUGCAUUCGAUACUGCGGUGCUUGAGGAGCUGGAGAGGAGACUGGAAUUCAUGGUGUAGCAGUGAAAUGCGUAGAGAUCAUGAGGAAGACCAGUGGCGAAGGCGGGUCUCUGGGCAAUAACUGACGCUGAGGAGCGAAAGCGUGGGGAGCGAACAGG